ensembl:lncRNA
UUUCAGUUUCAAUAUAAUCACUGAUCUCAUUUACAGACUGAACAACAACCGUACUGUACAAUGUCGCAGAGGUGAAAAUCAUCACUCCCCAAUCAGACAACAAUCAAUCAUCAAUCAGAAGACAUACCUCCUCCUGUUUCCUACCCUAUCACAGUUCCUUUCCCUUGGUUUAAAAACCCCAUCAGUUGUUUGCUCUAGAGCUCAAUCUCUCUGUAAAUGCCAUGCUAAGAUACUCCAGGAGGCGAAGGAGGAGCCACAGGAGUUGGAGCGAGCACUAGCUAGCAAGCUCCAUGAGCAGGAAAAGCUGAUGGCUAAUGGCUUCACAGAGAAAGAGGCAGCCAUGAAUGAGGAGAUACAGAGCCUGAGAGAGAAGGAGGAGGCCAAGCGUGAGGAGAAGGAAGAGCAGUCUUGUAACUUCAGAGCCAUAGCACAGGGUGUCAUGGAGAGUGUCAGCAAUGGCUUAGGUCCCUACUUUAACUAUAAGAAAGCCUGUGAGCAACGCAAGACGAUUGUGUUCAAGGAGCACAUGACUCUCAAGCAAGACGGCCACACCCAAACUCAAAACAGGAGCAGUUGGCAACUCUAAACACAACUCUGCCCAAAGUCAACACAGGUACAACUGACAAAAGCCCUGGCUCAGAGGUCUAUAGGAUUCACCAGAGAUUGGUCAAUGGUCCAGAUCAGCAGCCACACCUUUCUCCAGUCUCAACAUUAACCAGAAGAGCUACUAGGAAAUAGUGCAACAGAAAGACUGCUGUGCAACAACAGUACAAUGGGGCCAAACCAGCUGUCACUUCACAGAAGUCAGUUCCUCAGUUUAUAACCAUUAAUUUAUCAUUCUGAUAUAAUUAAAUAUUUAAAAGGUUAUUACAUACCAUUCUUAGAAUUGUAGUUAAGAUGUGUGCUUUGUUUUGUUCUUGGAUGUAGGGUCAAGUAAAUUAGCUUAACUUGUUUUGAAGUCAAAUUUGGCUAGAAUGGAACUGCUCAGCUUCAAUGUGCUUUUAAAUUCAGGGUUGACCAUUAUCAUGUUUUGUAAUUGUUGUUUAAAUAAACCUUGCUUCAUCUCUAUUUCUGCCGCCAUUCUAAAAUGGCAGCAGUUUUACGGGUGCCCAACCAAUUGUGCUAUUAUGUGGGGGUUUUUCGCGUUAUUUGUAACUUAUUUUGUACAUAAUGUUUCUGCAACCGUAUCUUACGCCAGAAAAGAGCUUCUGGAUAUCAGGACAGAG